UAAAGCAAUAUAAGCAGAAUUAGUUAAGUCUUUAAAGACAGAAAUAUGUGCAUAUGUCUGUGUAUGUAUGAAUCAGGUAAAAACAUACCAUUCAACUUUAUUGAUGCAACUGGGAUCUUCUAUGCAUCAGGCAGUUGCUUCCCAGUGUGUUCAAAGGAAUUUUCAUCUGGGCACAAGUGGACAGGCAGAGGCUUCCAAUGGUGUGACCUCAGCCUCUCCCUCCAGCACCAGGCAUGGCUGAGCUUUUGCAAGUUCGAAUUCAUAUACACACAUCCUGUUUCAGGUUUGCCGAAGGAGACCUGAGUGAACCUGAAAAACAGAGACCAAGGGAUAUUAAAACCUCCUGCAGGGACUGUGGAGGCAGUGAUAACGAAAAGGAAGCCCAGUGUAGCUGCACACCGCCUGCAAUCCCAGAUACUAAGAGACUGAGACAGAAAGCCCUCAAGAUCAAGGCCAGCCUGGCAACUCAGCCUGUUUCAAAAACAAACAUAAAAUGCGUAGGGAUGUAGCGCACUGUGCCAGGUUCAAUCCCCAGUGCCACAAGGAGAACGAAGAAGGAAGAAGGAGAAAGAAGGAAGGAGGAGAAGUUGGAAGGAGAGAGGAAGAUGAAGAAGAUGAUGCAGAUGAGGUGAGGAAGAGGAAAAAGGAGAAACCUGGGGGCUGUCAAUCUGCACUUCUUACACUGGAUCCUGUGAAUGAAAAAUGCCUUGUUCACACGGGUGGAGAAGUGAGACCUCAGGGAACCGGAGAUGCCGACCCGACCCACGGAGGACCUAGACGCCCUCCAACAGCCCGCGUCCCGCCCCCACUCCGCAUCCCCGCCACGCCCCCUCCGCAUCCCCGCCACGCCCCCCGCCCGCGGCCCAGGGCGCAGCCAAUGGGAGCGGCCGUCGGAGGAGCGCGGCCCUUUAAGGAGCAACGCUAAGGGCUGUGGCGCAUUCAGUGCAGAGUCUUCUGGUGGCGGCUGUCGUCAUGUCCCUGCAGGCUGAUUUUGACAAGGUUGCAGCAGAUGUGAGGAAGCUGAAAGCAAGACCAGAGGACGAAGAACUGAAAGCACUCUAUGGGCUCUACAAACAGGCUGUCAUUGGGGACAUUAAUUUUGGUAAUUAUGCCACAUUUUAAAAGAUAAUACAAUUGGUUUGAACAGUAUUUGUAGAGUGCCCAACAAAAAGUAAACUUAAAGUAAAUCUCUCUUUCCUCUUUUGGCAGCAUGUCCAUCAAUGUUAGAUUUAAAAGGGAAGGCCAAAUGGGAAGCAUGGAACCUCCAAAAAGGUUUUUAAAUUCUUAAACCAGGUUCAAACAAACCUUAAUCUUUCACUGCACCACUCUGAAAUAAUCUGCUUGUAUCUUUCUAGGGUUGUCAAAGGAAGAUGCCAUGAAUGCCUAUAUUUCUAAAGCAAAAGAACUGAUUGAAAAGUAUGGAAUUUAGAAUUCAUCAGAGAAGAGUUUUCCUUCGAAUCCUUCUUAAUAGUAUGAGCUAAUAUUUAAGGGCAGUGACACCGUCGACUCCAGACCAUGGAUACAUUUGUUGUCAGCGUGAAUUAUGAUACUUAGGAAUAUACUGAAACCAUGUAGUUGACUAAAUUUUAUUUUCUUAAACCGGGUAACUUUAAAAGUAUUUUUGCUGGACAUGGUGGUACACACCUGUAAUCCCAGCACUUGGGUAGCUGAGGCAGAAUAAUCAUCAUGAGUUGGAAGCCAGCUUAGGCUACAUAGUAAGUUCAGCUACUGUGAGCCUGAACUACAUAGAUCCUGUCUCAAACAAAGCAAAAAUGUUCUUUUAAAAAAUUGUUGUUCUGGAAGUUUGUAUAUAAAAACUUCAAAAAAAUUUUUUUUCUGUUGUCUUAUCUGUUCUGCAAUGACUUAGUGCCACUGAGAUAAUAAAAAUAGUUUUAUUAUAUUAA